rnacentral:sRNA from 1 species
GCCAGGCGUGGUGGCGCAUGCCUGUAAUCCUAGCAGCUCGGGAGGCUGAGGCAGGAGGAUCGCGAGUUAAAAUUUAACCUCAGCAACAGCAUCAGCAAGGCUCUAAGCAACUCAGUAAGACCCUGUCUCUA